CUGCAGUUGGCCUGACUUCACCAUCUCAUAACUGCCAUCACUCCUGGGUCAGGAAACAAGCAGGGCUCACUGGCUUCAGGGGACCACAGGUAACAGGUUCCAGCCCACGGCUCAGAGAAGCAGACUGCUUCCCGGAAAGGGCUCCAGGUCUCCCCAAAGGAGCAGCCAGUCCAACAUAACCUCUGCAGAGAAGGCUCUGGGCUGAACAAAAAGGUGGAUUAAAAGCUUUCUCAGGUUGCAUUUCUCUAAAGUGCAAGCUUGAAGAACCAUCCGACUUGUGCUCCAAGGCAAAUUCACAGCUGUUGGCUUCAGAUGAAGAAGUCACAGGCAACCCAAACCUGGUUGGAAAGACAGUUUGCCUCUGAUUUGUCACACAGGGAAUGCUCCAGGGACCGGGAAGAAGUGUCUGAACUAGCAGGCUGGCGCACAUCCAACUAGGAGUAGGAACACACACAAAUCCCAGGCAGCUGACGGUUAAAAUGUCUUGCCUGAAUUCCUUUUCUUUGCCGAAUUUGAUGGCAGUGAUCAAGCAGCCUCCUUGGGAAGCACCUUGAGGAUACAGGGGGAAAGAAAGCUUCCUUUGGGGUUUCCAAAACACUCCCCUUUCAUGCUUGUUUUCACUUAGUCAUUGCCUCCCUCCUGGCCUCCGGCACCAGAGCCUGCAUCCUGCCUGCCCCAGGUAACCGGAGCCCUGAGUGUGCACAAAGCACCACUAUGCCAGAGUGAUGUUAUCAGGCAGGCUGGCCUGCUCCACACGGCAAGACAGCGGCUGAGCCAGGGUGGCCGGGCCCAAGCUGAAACAGGACUCCCAUGCUGCUGAGCGAGGACAGAGUGGCCUUUGUGCGGGACAAAUCAUAUUUAGGCCCAUUCCUUAUUAACAUUGCAGUCAUCAGAGCAUUUUCUUUCCUGACUUCCAGCUCCAAAACCCUGCAUAGGAUUGUGUAGGAUGUGGCUCAGCCCUGGAGUUGACAUUGGGUGGAAAGGACGAUGUGACUCUUCUCAGCUUCAAUUUUUGGAGUCCAUCAGAACACUGAGUGCACAAUUAUACAUGAAGAGCAGCAAGCCUUGUGGCCAAACCACAAAACUUGACUGGAAGCUUGAUAUAGACUAGAAAAGAUCUGGUCAUCACAGAGAGAAAUCAUAUCUUUUGCAGGAGUGAGAGCAGAUUUGGGAACCAUACAACCCUGGAUAUAUAUUUGCACCCUACCACAAACCUGCUGUGUGCCUUUGGGCAAGUCUCUUGACAUCUCUGAGCUUCAGUGUUCUCAUCUGUAAAAUGCAGACAAUAGUACCUACUUGCUAGUGUUGAUGUGAUGAUUACAGACAGUAAAUGCAGACAAAUUAGCACAUGGUAGAUGCUCAAAAAAUAGUAGCUUUAGUAUUAAAUGGAUUUUCUGUGCCCUUUCCCACCGCCAAACUAUUAGAAUACAUCUCAGUAGCCCUAUCACAUAGAUUAAUAUACAUCUUAAGGUCUUAACAAUGUACAGUGUAGAAUUUGGCCCAAAUCAGAAGAAAAUCAGCAAAUAAACCGACAAUAAAUCAAAGCCAGACAUGUAAUACCAUAGCCCUUUUAAUGAUACUAAACCACACCCAUGUUUCAUGAGCAGUGCCACAUCCAGAAAGAAUACUGCUGCACAAAAGCAUGAGAAUUUGCUCUUUGAGGUUUCCAAUCUCCCACCUGCAACUCCAUUGAUGGCCCACAUUGAUUGUGCCCCUCCUUAGGCAAGGUCUGGUAGGGGGGCCCUGAAGAUACAACCAUCAGGGAGCUUAGUUUGGCCUGGAGUGAAAUAAAGCAGGAUAACAAACUGGCAAAGAGUUCAGCCGGGGAGAACAGACAGCCCCUGCCAAUCCUUGCUUGUCACACUCACCAGCUGUGUGAUUUGGGGCAUGUCAUGUUGCCCCUCUAGACCUCAGAGGCCUUAUCAAUAAAGUGGCAAUAACAAAGCACCUCUCUCAUGAAUAGAUGUAAGAAUGCAAAUGGCCUGGUACAUAGAUCGCAGGAAAUAUUUUCUGAACUAGUGACUUGCUGUUGAGAAGUUUAGGCUGGGAAGAAGAAAUAAGCCAAUGAAGGACAUAAUUGGAGGCAAGAGAUGUUUUUGGCACCCUCUGAUCACGCUGGGUAGGCAGGAGGCAGAGUGCUCCCCCAGAGACCUUCUGUGCACUUUGGAGAGGAAGAUGAGGCCACGCCAAAGUUUGAAUAAGUAGUGAAGGCACAUUACACUGGAGAAAAGGCAAUGGAAAGGAGGUGACAUUUGUGUAUUGCCUGGUAUAUUCAGGCCAGUGCUAGGGGCUUUACCUAUGCUAUAGUGUUUAAGUCUUACAACAACCCUAUUAACCCUCUUAAACCCAUAUGGAAAUUUGGGAAAACUGAGUUGCAGAGAUAUUAAGUAAUAUUAACAAUUAUUGAACAUAUAUCGUGUGCUCUAUUGAUGAUUUCAUAAUCAUUUUCUUUUAAAGAGCCUAAUGGCCCAAUAAGUAAGAUAUUUCCAUAAAAAUCUAACAUAAAGCACAAAAGGUUUAAUAACCUGCCCUGGAUUUUUCAGUUGAUAAAGGAAGAGCCAAGAUCCAAAAUCAGAGACCGUCUGGCAGCAAAUGCCAGGUGCUGCGAAUCUCUCACCGCGCACCACCCAUGAAACCACUGGUUCUCAAUAUUUGAUGUGCAUCAGAAUUACUGGUUGAGUGUUUUGGAAUCUCAGAUGAUCAGAUCCAUCAGACCUCCUCUAGAACUUACCACAUCAGAGCCUCAGGGGUCUGGGCUCAAGUUAGUGUGUUUUGUAAAUGUUUCAUAGGGCAUUUUGCACUUGACAAGUAUGGAGAAUCACUUCACAAACUAUAAGGAGUUUUCGUACACUCUCUGGUUUUCUUAUGCUCUGCUCUCGCCGGGCACAUUCUGAGGAAAAUGGUUCCCAUACCUGUGGCCAGGGCAGACUUGCUUUGUCAAGCCUAGAGGCCACCUGGUAAGCAUGGGAACUAGCCUAACUCUGGGAGAGGUCAGCUGGGCAUCCUAGGCAGCUCACUGCUCCUUUUGUCUUAACUGUUACUUUCCUUGAAGAAAUAACAUAGCAAGAAGCAGAUGGGGGUUGGUAGGAAUCCUCCAUGACUAUUUUUUUAUGUUCUUCUACAACUUUGCUUAUUUGUUAUUUGAUUAAAUAACAAUAUUGUUAUUUAGUCAAAAUCCUAGGGCAGAUAUUCCUUUAUUCCAUUUUUAUCACAAGGUAUGAAUAGUUUCCUGUAUUUUAAUUUUUCCAUGUCUUUUCAUAAGCUUUAUAAUUAUAUAUUUGUACUUGUAAAAUAUCUCUCUCAGUGGAAAGGCCAUAAUGUAGUUAACUUUUUCUCUAUUGUUGGGCAUGUGGGCUGUUCCUAAUUUUUUAGUAUUAUGGAUAAUAUUGACGUAAAUAGCUACCCAUGCAAUUUCAAUUCCUUCCUUCCCUCCUUGCUUCCUUCCCUUCUUCCUCCCUUUCUAGCAACCAUCGACAACAGCUGCUUAACAUCCACUAUCAACAGGUUCUACACUAGACAUUGGGUAAAAAUCUGAAAAGGACCCAGCUCUAGCCUUAAAGAAGUUUAUUGUCUGGGCCGGGUGUGAUGGCUCACACCUGUAAUCCCAGCACUUUGGGAGGCUGAGGCGGGCAGAUCACUGGAGGUCAGGAGUUUGAGGCCAGCCUGCCCAACAUAGUGAAACCCCGAUUCUGCUAAAAAAGAUACAAAAAGCAGCCAGGCAUGGUGGCGCAGGCCUGUAGUCCCAGCUUCUCAGGAGGCUGAGGAAGAAGAAUCACUUGAACCCGGGAGGCAGAGGUUGCAGUAAGUCGAGAUUGUGCCACUGCGCUCCAGCCUGGGCGACUGAGCAAGACUCCAUCUCAAUUUAAAAAAAGUGUAUUGUCUAAAGGAAAAUGGAGAAAACAAGAAAAUUUUAAAAGUACUUAUAUUAAAACACAAUGAGUCUGCUAAAAGAUGUUUGGUGAAACAAGGAGAGCUGGACAAGAAGGUCAGCACUAACCAUUCCACCCAGAGUGUUGGUGGUAAGUGGGGCAGGGACAACUUCCCAAAGGAGGGAGCUUUGCAGCCAGGUCCUGGGAGAGCCUGUGAUAAGGGAAAGUGGACUGAGUGAUGGUUUGGGUUUGGUUUCAUUUCAGAUGAGCCUUUAGGCCACCUUUCCCACUCAUGUUAGAAGUGAUCCUCCUACUGGCAACGAUUGUAGGCCAGCAGUUCCAAGUCCUCUGUGAGAAGAGCCUCCGUGUUCCCUUCACAUCACACCUGAACAGAGACUCACCCACCGUCUCCUAUGGCUGGGUUGAGCCCUUAUGGCUGUUUGGAUCCCCUUCUUGCUGUGAAGGAUCCAUGUAUGCUUUUAUAAAACUUUCUCAUGGCUAAAAUUCCCCGGGACAUAGCUGGUUAGGACACUUAGAGAAUUUCAUCCUUCAUUAAAGCUCAGCUCAAAUCACAUCUCCUCAGCCAAGCCUUCUUCAACCCCAGCAGACUAUAAUAACCCAGCGUCUACACAGUACACGUGGCCAGAGCAGACCCUGGUUGUCUAAGAUUAAGUUUAUUCACUUUAGAGGAGGUAGAGUGAAGGGGCUUUUUAAAAGAAAGACAAAAUCAUAGUACAGAUGUGACAGAAAAGUAAAUAUUUACUUAGAACGAAAGAAAACGGUAUUAUGAAAUUUUAAAAGCUGGCAAGUACAAUAAACAUCAGACAAUUCAGAAAAAAUGCAUGUUUAUGAAUUAACUGCCUAAUACACUUUUUGUAUUUUUCUCUACAAAACCAUGUACACAAAAAACGUUUUUAGCUACAUACAAUUUUGUGUGCAUACAUAGUUUUAUAACAUCUUCUACCAAAGAUAAUAAAAAUAUAAUUUAGUCUUUCUUUUAGCUUUGUAAGUUAAAAUUUGUUUGUUACUAUUGAAACUUGGGAUGCUUAAAAUACGUAAACACACACAGAUUUAUUUCAUUUUGUAUAACAGCUGCAGAUUUGUCUCUACAAACACAGAUAUCAAGAAUUCUAAUGAAUUCUCUCUCAUGUAAUUCCCAUUACACAUAUCCACAUACAAACGCACAUUCUACAUAAGAAUGUUUAGUGGGUGUGCAUGUUUAUAUUUCAUAAUUAUGUAUUAAGUAUUUUCCUGCCCUGGAAAAAAGUUCCAUUUAGAUUAAACAAAAUUCUCCACGUACAAUUUGAUGUUUGAAUGAAUUGUCCAAAGACUAGCUUCUGGUUCCAUUUAUUUCAAAUCGUGUUUGUUCUCAUGACCUAUAUACUUCUGGUACCAGACAUAACAUGUCUGGCCCUGCUGCAUCUUUUUUCCACCAGCGAAUUGGAAUUCUAGUGGUAGAUGUAUUCCUGGAAGCCAUUUCUGUACCAGCUUGGCUAGCAGUAGCUUAACUAUACAAAUAAAUUACUGUAAAAAACACAAAUCCCAAAGUAGGUGUAAUCCCAACUCAACUGCCCCUUCACCAAACCUCAAAAUUGUUCUCAGCUCUUCCAGCACUACUUAGCACCAGGGGAAAUGGGAUGCAGAGAUGGUCAUAGUGGAAAGAAAGUGUCUUCACUAGUUGCUAUUUAAAUAUCUUACUCAUGAAAAUUUUACAAAAAAAAUCCAUGACCACAUGAACACUUUGUGAGGAUCUAUCCAAAGGUCG
rnacentral:lncRNA from 10 species